rnacentral:rRNA from 1 species
GGACGAACGCUGGCGGCGUGCCUAAUACAUGCAAGUCGUACGCUUCUUUUUCCACCGGAGCUUGCUCCACCGGAAAAAGAAGAGUGGCGAACGGGUGAGUAACACGUGGGUAACCUGCCCAUCAGAAGGGGAUAACACUUGGAAACAGGUGCUAAUACCGUAUAACAAUCGAAACCGCAUGGUUUUGAUUUGAAAGGCGCUUUCGGGUGUCGCUGAUGGAUGGACCCGCGGUGCAUUAGCUAGUUGGUGAGGUAACGGCUUCCACCAAGGCCACGAUGCAUAGCCGACCUGAGAGGGUGAUCGGCCACAUUGGGACUGAGACACGGCCCAAACUCCUACGGGAGGCAGCAGUAGGGAAUCUUCGGCAAUGGACGAAAGUCUGACCGAGCAACGCCGCGUGAGUGAAGAAGGUUUUCGGAUCGUAAAACUCUGUUGUUAGAGAAGAACAAGGAUGAGAGUAACUGUUCAUCCCUUGACGGUAUCUAACCAGAAAGCCACGGCUAACUACGUGCCAGCAGCCGCGGUAAUACGUAGGUGGCAAGCGUUGUCCGGAUUUAUUGGGCGUAAAGCGAGCGCAGGCGGUUUCUUAAGUCUGAUGUGAAAGCCCCCGGCUCAACCGGGGAGGGUCAUUGGAAACUGGGAGACUUGAGUGCAGAAGAGGAGAGUGGAAUUCCAUGUGUAGCGGUGAAAUGCGUAGAUAUAUGGAGGAACACCAGUGGCGAAGGCGGCUCUCUGGUCUGUAACUGACGCUGAGGCUCGAAAGCGUGGGGAGCAAACAGGAUUAGAUACCCUGGUAGUCCACGCCGUAAACGAUGAGUGCUAAGUGUUGGAGGGUUUCCGCCCUUCAGUGCUGCAGCUAACGCAUUAAGCACUCCGCCUGGGGAGUACGACCGCAAGGUUGAAACUCAAAGGAAUUGACGGGGGCCCGCACAAGCGGUGGAGCAUGUGGUUUAAUUCGAAGCAACGCGAAGAACCUUACCAGGUCUUGACAUCCUUUGACCACUCUAGAGAUAGAGCUUCCCCUUCGGGGGCAAAGUGACAGGUGGUGCA